rnacentral:rRNA from 1 species
GACGAACCGUGCGAACGUUGUUCGGAUUCACUGGGCUUAAAGGGCGCGUAGGCGGACUCGCCAGUCCGGGGUGAAAUCUUUCGGCUUAACCGGAAAAGUGCCUUGGAUACUGCGAGUCUUGAGGAAGGUAGGGGCAUGUGGAACUUCCGGUGGAGCGGUGAAAUGCGUUGAUAUCGGAAGGAACGCCGGUGGCGAAAGCGACGUGCUGGCCCUUCCCUGACGCUGAGGCGCGAAAGCCAGGGGAGCAAACGGG